rnacentral:rRNA from 1 species
UACGAAGGGGGCUAGCGUUGUUCGGAUUUACUGGGCGUAAAGCGCACGUAGGCGGGUCGUUAAGUCAGGGGUGAAAUCCCGGAGCUCAACUCCGGAACUGCCUUUGAUACUGGCGACCUUGAGGCUGGAAGAGGUUAGUGGAAUUCCCAGUGUAGAGGUGAAAUUCGUAGAUAUCGGGAGGAACACCAGUGGCGAAGGCGGCGACCUGGGCCAAUACUGACGCUGAGGUGCGAAAGCGUGGGGAGCGAACAGG